CACCUCACUCAAUCCUGUAAACCCACAAAUAUCUACAUGGGUAGCUAAUUACAAACAGAUAAACACGAACAAUCACACACACACACACACACACACAUACAGGUAGGCAAAGCAAGGCACGGUACAGCAAGACACAGCAAGGCAAGGCAAGGCAAGGCACCGCGCAUGGUCACUGUUGUAACUUUGGGAUGGGCGGGUAGUACCUCUCAGGCUGCGGCGCCGAGAACACGCUCUUUCCCUGCCACCUCACCGUUCCCUCUGCGCUGGUCUGUUCUCCCGCCCUGUCGCUCGCCUCGCUCCCUCGCUGCCUCGCUACUGUAUUACUAACUUGUGCUACCUUCCCCCACUCACGCGACGCUCUCCACUCUCACGUACUGAUACAAGCUCGAGAAGUGGGUGAUAUUGGCAGUUUCAAGGUGAAAUUGUGGGGUCGAGUGAGUGAUUUAUUGACAGAGGUGCUGAGACGGAGACCGAGCGCUAACUUGUGGGCAAAAUGCAAAUAAAGGUGAAAUAAAUGACACAUACGAACGAAGUGAAAAGGUACAAGAACGGAAAGUAAUAGUAAUAAUAAGAACACUAACAGUUGUAAGAGUAAAUAGAAGGAGACAAAAGGAAGGAAGGAAGAAGGAAGGAAGGAAGGAAGGAAGGAAGGAAAAAGAGAGAGAAAAGUUAAAGAGAAGAAAUAUAAAUCAAAAGGAUAAACUUAUUUGUUAUUCACGUAAAGAGUAUCAGUAAAGGAG